GAUGAAGAACGUAGCGAAAUGCGAUAAGUAAUGUGAAUUGCAGAGUUUUGUGAAUCAUCGAAUCUUUGAACGCACAUUGCGCCCCUCGGUAUUCCGACGGGCAUGCCUGUCCGAGCGUCGUUUGUAACCCAUCGAGUAACACUUCUCGGUCUUGGGCGCCGUCCGCCCCCUCGGGGGAUCGGACGGGCCCCAAAGCCCUCGGCGGCCCCGCGUGCCCCGCCGGAGCGUCUUCGAAAGCAAUCGCUCCGGCGCGUCGCGCCCCGGGACCAAGCCGGCACCGCGGCCCCCCCAAAGGGGUCGCACCCCCAACACCAAACGUCUGACCUCGGAUCAGGUAGGGCUACCCGCUGAACUUAAGCAUAUCAAUAAGCGGAGGA
rnacentral:misc_RNA from 1 species